GAUGAACGCUGGCGGCGUGCUUAACACAUGCAAGUCGAACGAUGAAGCCCAGCUUGCUGGGUGGAUUAGUGGCGAACGGGUGAGUAACACGUGAGUAACCUGCCCUUAACUCUGGGAUAAGCCUGGGAAACUGGGUCUAAUACCGGAUAGGAGCGCCUACCGCAUGGUGGGUGUUGGAAAGAUUUAUCGGUUUUGGAUGGACUCGCGGCCUAUCAGCUUGUUGGUGAGGUAAUGGCUCACCAAGGCGACGACGGGUAGCCGGCCUGAGAGGGUGACCGGCCACACUGGGACUGAGACACGGCCCAGACUCCUACGGGAGGCAGCAGUGGGGAAUAUUGCACAAUGGGCGAAAGCCUGAUGCAGCGACGCCGUGUGAGGGAUGACGGCCUUCGGGUUGUAAACCUCUUUCAGUAGGGAAGAAGCGAAAGUGACGGUACCUGCAGAAGAAGCACCGGCUAACUACGU
rnacentral:rRNA from 1 species